rnacentral:rRNA from 1 species
GGGUGAGUAACGCGUAGGAAUCUACCUAGUAGAAGGGGAUAGCCCGAGGAAACUCGGAUUAAUACCGCAUACGCCCUACGGGGGAAAGCAGGGGAUCUUCGGACCUUGCGCUAUUGGAUGAGCCUGCGUUGGAUUAGCUUGUUGGUGGGGUAAAGGCCUACCAAGGCGACGAUCUUUAGCUGGUCUGAGAGGAUGAUCAGCCACACUGGGACUGAGAUACGGCCCAGACUCC